GAAGGCAGGAGAAAAGAAAUUUCAGUUCCAGAAGUCCAUAUACCUUCAGACUCCCCAGUCUCCAUCCCCCAGUAGCCCACCAUCUCUGGGUCACAUUUUCCUCUUUAACUCCUUUCAGACUUUACCCUGCACCACUUUCCCCCACCCUUGCAAGUGCUAUUGAGAAUAGUUAUAAUAUUUGAUUAUUAUAGCAAAUAUUAUAUUUACUACUUAUCUUGUGCAUCUAUUGAUCAAUUCUAUGAGUUCUCUGACUUUCGUUUUUCCUGAACAACUGAAGCAUUCUGAGCUGAUGACAUGUUUAAUCCAAAGAUUUACCAAGGCAGGUGAGUAUACAUUCCUGCUCUCCAGGAGAAGUGGCUCAUGCUGUGGCUGCUUCCUAUUGACCCCCCUCACCUCUUAUAUUCUGGAAUACAAAGAGCUGCCACUCCUUUCUCCCAAAGGGAGUUACUACCUUUUCUUCUGUUCCUGAGCAAUCCAUACUGGAAUGCACAGGGGCAAUCCUAUCACCUCAUAAUAUUCUUGGGGAAUCAAGGUAAAAUAAGAUGACUUAAUUCCCCUCUCUCCCCAAGAUAAGACUGACUACCUAGGCUAAAGAGAACCUUAGGACAGUCACUGGUUCAAUCUUGGAGCCACAGUUCCCUGGGGCAGAACUUUUUUUGAGGGGGGGCCUUCUUUCCCUUGCUUCAGUAGACCUCUUGGAGACAAUAUGCCCUAAUUCUAUUCAGAGAACAAGGAGUUCUAACAGUUAUCCAUGAAGGUCAGCAAAAGCCCCAGCUUCCUUUAAUAGCCACAUCCGGCAUCUACCAUCAGGGAUUUCUUUAAACCCUUCUUAGGCCUAUUUAUAUUUCUGAUCUGUACAUUUCUUGGGAGUGUGGGGGUGGGUAGCAAUGAAUUCCAGAUUCAAUAGUUCAAGGUGUCAAAUACAGCUUUUUUCUCUUGGUUCUACAACCACUUCUUAAACUUCAGAGGUGGAGGAGAGGAGCCUUAGUUCUAACCUAAGAUUUGAUAAAGAAAAAGACCAUUAGAAUGGCAAUCAGAAGGCCUGAGCUCCAAUUCUGGCUCUGCCCCGCAACAAGCCAGAUGGCCUUGGACAAAGUAAUUCUCCAUGGGCCUUGGUUCCCUUAUUUGCAAAAGGGUGUUGGCUUAGAUGAUCUCUAAAUUCCCCUGCCUCCCCGCCCAGGAUUCUCAGGCUGGGCCUUCACUUAGCCUUUCUUCCCCAUUUCCUUUAAAGAAUGCUCCCAUUCACUCUACCUUUGUCUCUUCAGACUGAAGAUGCUUUUUUUGAAAAAUGAAAACACCUACCCUGGUUUCAUAUUCAGUUCCUUUCCCCUUGCCCAGAGUAGAUGCAGUAGCUUCACCCCAAGUAGGUGACUGACACAGUUUAAAAAGACUAUUAAGACAAAGUUUUGAAUUACAAUGACCUGUUCAAAGUCAAAGGAAGAGUACAAAGGUGGCUACUAUAGUACAGGUUCAUGCUUUCCCCCAAGACACCAAAUCUUACAGUUUCAAGGUCAGGAAAAUCGACCUCUCCCUGGAGGGAAGCAGACAGAUAGUCAGGAGGACAGCCUUACCAGCAAAAAGCUGGAUGCUAAAUAUCAGAUCCCCAGAAGUCUGGAAUACACCAAAGUCACUGAACCCACAUCUAAAGAACACAGUGAUAGUAGUGAUGGUGGUGAUAGUGGUGAUGGUGGUGGUAGAAGGGGUCUAAGGGGGAAUAGGGUAGGGAAGGUGAUUCAGAUUCUAAUUCCUAUCAAGUUUCCACCCUUUCCCUGGUAAAAUCUCAUAGUGACAGGGCUGCCUCUGAUAACAAGAGGUCAAGCAUCUAGACAUUAGUGAUUCUCUGAGUAGGUAAAGAGCAAUAUUUCUUGUGACAUCAAACCAAGUGGGUGGAUGAAAUGGAAAAUGACCUUAGGUUCCUUUUGAAAACCCUCCUCUCAUCCCAGGGAGUUUUUUCAAUUAUUGGAUGACCCUAUGCCUGCUAUCUUCUCUCACCAGAGAUUCUUCCUUCAUCUGAUUCUUUAAUUUUAAUUUUAAUUUUUUUAGGGAGGGAGGGGAAGAAGGGAGAAAAAGAGAGGAAGAAAGGAAAGAGGGAGAAAGAGGAAAAGAGAGAGACAGAUAAUCUGCCCAAAAGGGUUGUAUAAAAAACCAAGUUCUGGGUUCACCUUGAUUCAGCUGUGGGUAUGGGCAGAGGAGAAACCUAGAGCGGAAAUAAGGACUCAGAUGGUUUGGGGCUAUAUUUGCUAGCCCAUUUCAUCACAUAUAGCUGUUUCCACAGAAUCUGGAACCAGAUUAAGGUUUUCCCCUAACCAGGGCAAAUCCAAUGGAGGCAACUAAGUUCUCCUAGCUCUCCAAGUUUCAUUUCUGUAUGUGUGUGUCUGUGUGUGUGUAGUCUGCCCCCAGUAGACUGAAAACUUCUCGAGGACAAGAACUUAUAGCUGAACUUGUAUCCCUAGCAUUUAGCACAGGGCCUGAUACAAAGUAAGCACUUAAUAAAUGUUUGUUGACUAUAUCCUUUUCUUCACCUUGGACUUCCUCUUUCACUUUUCUCCCUUUCUCUCAACAGAUGUCUUCAACUCCUACUUUUACAAAGGAGACAGGCCACCCAUCAUAACGGGACCAUUGGGUGUCCUGGAUGAGCCACAUCAUCUUCUCGAGUUCCACUCCUCUUCUGUACAUACGGGACAUCUCUGAAGGUCCUUCUACAUCUCAUGUUUUCUAAUCCUCUUAGCUAGAAGCUCAUAGUCACCAAGAUCAGCCCCGAACCAUGGGCCACAUUCAUCAGGAAGUUUAUUAAGUACUCUCCCGGAGAAGAUGGGUUCCAGAUGUCAAACAUCCUCCCUGGGACUUGGGGGGAAGCACAGUUAGAAAUCAAUCUAUAUUCUAUUCUGGCAGGUGGUUUGCACAAUGAUGCUGCUGCCUGGAUGCUGAUAUCUACUGCUGAUGGAGGAGUAGUCAUGUACCUCCCAAGUCAAUGAUAUUUAGUCAACCAAUUUUUCCUCUUUGUUCAAAUCUGGGAAAGACAAUUAGAUCAAAAUGAAGGGACUAAAAACCUCCAAUGAAUCUAAUUUAAUCCCACCUAAUCCAAAUCACAUUCACUUCCAUUUUAAGCCUAAUUUCACAUUACUCCCUUUCAUGUUUGAUGUUCAGCCAAAAUAGGCUACUAUCUUUUUCAAAAACUGCCUGCAGGCACUGAGACAAAUUGUCUUUUAAGCCUGGAAUGCACACUAUUUCUUCAUUUCAUCUUUAAUGGCUUAGUUCAGAUGCAACUUUACCUGGCUCCAAUUGUUAAUUUUCUCACCUUUCUCAAAUCUUCCUUCAGUAUUCUUAUCUCUUCUUUGUCCUCCUUACUUAGUAAUAUCUUUUUGCAUACUACUUCCCACCAGAUAAUACCCAGUCAACCAAGAGGCAUCUAUUAUGUGUGAAGUAUGAUGCUAGAAUUGGGCAUAUACAUACAAACAAUGAAAUGAUUUCUAUUCUCAAGAAGCUGAUAAUCUUUUGAGAGAGACAAAACAAACACAGUUAAAUAUAAACAGAACAUAUAUAGAAUAUAUAUAUGCAAGGUAGUUAGAAAAAGUAGUCACUGGCAGUUGGGGGGAUUAGGAAAAGCUUUAUGUAGAAGGAUGUGCUUGAGCUGCACAUCUUGAAGGAAGAGGGGCGCCAUGAUAUGGAGGGAUAAAAUUAGUGCAGGAAUAGUCAAUUAGUACAAAAGCAACAACCAUCACUUUUCAUCUCUAUCUCUCCAAGAUUUAGCAAAUUUGUUAAUAAAUUUGUUGGAUUGACCUGGUUUAACCUAACCGAGUCUCAUUCUCACAUUGGGGAUAUAUGAUCUCAAAAGGUUAUCACUAGUGCAGAUGUGAGGUGAUAAAGGACUAGAUGAUGUCACAUUGAGGAUAUGUGGUCUCAGCAGCUCAGGAAAGACCCUACUCCUAAGAGACAUCAGUCUUAUCUAAAUGGAAUAGAGAAUCCUAAAGGGGGAGGAGUAUGGAGGUGUGUAUGAGAGUCUCACCCACAGAUCUGUCUCAAGAUAACGAACACACUUAAGUGAGAAGAAAAUGUCUAAGUAAUUUAAAUUCGUCCACUCUGCCAUCAACAAAAAUAACAAUCACAAAACAAUCUUCUUUAUUCAUAUAUCUCCUUUCUUCAAGCAGUCCUAAAUAUUUUUAUCUUCAAUAGGAUAUGCUAAGAUGACUGUAAAAGACCAGAGUGAAAAAAGAGAAGAACUCAGGUUACAUAGAUAGGAAUUGAGGCACUUGAUCAAGAUGAUGAAUCCAAAAAAAUACAGAUGCCAGGAGCUUUGAUUCCUUAGGCUCGCAGAAUCAAGAUCAUAGGUUUACAGGAACCAGAUCAUGAUGAGGCUAGCAUAUACUACCAUUUACUACCCUCCUAGCCUGACAUUUUCUAGAGCUGGAUGCCUACCAUCUCCUUGGAAGGCUUACUUAAUUAAGUCAAAAGCAGAAUGACUGAAGGCUAGGCCAUUCCAGGAAAAGGACUGAGAAGAGUCACCUAGAAAUGGCUUUUGCGAAUCCACAGGAUGUUAUAGUAAGAGCUCUAAUAACAGGGAAGGGCUUCCUUCAGCCACCUACACUAUGGGGAAAACAGCCCUUUUACAGCUUGCUGAAUCAUUUGGCCCCACCUUUUACUGAAAGGCAAAGAUCCCAUUCUCUCCUCCUCUUUACCCUAAACUCUCACAGCCUGCAUUCAAAACACCUAGAACUUAGACAUGCCAAGAAGAAUCAAUCAUGAAGUCCAUAGUACAGAGAACACAGAUAAGAGGAGUUGCCAGUAUGCAAUAAGUCACCUGAAGAGUCCUAAACCAGAGAUGCAAGUCAUAUGAGCCAGCUUCCCUGAUGCUAAAGCAUGUCUCCUACCAGACUCACUCUCUCACAGAGCACCAAACACUGAAGAUGGGGUGGGUGACUUUGGAAAGGAUGUGGUUACAACUGUUCGGCCUUUAAAGGUUGAAGUAUGAAGGUAUGAAAUAGAGAAAGAGAGGCCAGGCCUAAGCCAAAUUCAAAUUUCUGAUGAAGAAACUGGUUCCCUUUUUCAACUCUCAGUGAUGCAUCUGGAAAAAGACAAUAAAAAAAGCAAAGGUUUUGGUGGACUAGUCAAGAAAACUAAUCCAAUGGGGCCAAAGUCUUUCCAUGGAUAUUUGGGAUAGAGGCUUAAAUUAAAAGCAGCUCUUUCUGCUUAGUUCAUCAGAGAAGACAGAUCUAAUCUGAUUAUUAUGUCAAGCCAUCCUGAGUAGUAUUCUUAAAAGAGGAUGGGAAAUUUGAUUGCAAGACAAACCGGAAAAUUUGGUUAUAAUAUAAACUGGAGGGAAGACAAUUCAAUUCUUCUGGCCACCAUUGUUAAUAUAUCAGGAAGAAUUAGCAACCUAAAUUAGCAACAUGAGAGAAAUAGCACUCUCAGUAAAAUCAGAGGGCAAAAUUCAAUAGCUUUCUUUUUGUGUCCCUCCCUUGGCUAGAAAAUGGAAGGAGAGAGAGAUUAAGGUUCAGAGAACAACUGUCUGUCUCUAUACUUGAGAUGAUACUCUCAGUCAGGCUAUUGGAUUCUUCCUUACACAACAUAUUUGAGAAGCUGUUCUCACAAUUAAAAGGAAAACAAUAGCAAUGGAGUUAGAAAGGACAUAACAGACUAAUUUAUUAUAUUAUUAUAUCUAAUUAGUAAUUAUUAUUAUAACUAUAAAAGCCCUACACUAAUAUUUCAUCAUGACCUCCAGUUAACUUAAGGGCACUUAUGUCCUAUAAGGACAUAAAUUCUUGCAGGAUCUGCCAAACUGUAACAGCUUUGAAUUUGGUCUCAGGACAAAAAGGACCAGCCUGGUUAAGUACAGAAAAGCCAUGAGAUGACAAAAUGAAGAAAACUAUAAAACAGUCCUCAGUUUUGGGAAGUGCCUUUCUACUUUCUCAGUACAACUAUGAAAUAGUUUUAAAAAAAAAAAAAGGCAAAAGACAGGGUGUAAAAGCACAUGGUUUUUAGAUUAGUGGUAACAUGAACAAUUAAAAGACGUUACUCCAAAUAUGAGAUCCUUGUUCAAAGGGAACAAGAAAAUAUUAGAGGAACCAAACUAUAUAAAUGUUAAAGUUCUCUUCAAAAAAAGAAACCCAGAAGGCAGAAGUUAUAGCUAAAUGAAGAAUGAUGCAUAGUUUCUCUGAUGAUUUA